AUUGCAGAUUGUGAGAAUACCGGCGUUGCAAAUAUGCAGCUAGCUUCCACAGUAACUAAGGAAGUUUGAUAUCUGCCCGCGCAGAAACUUAUUUAUAACACAAGAUGCGCGUGCGCGGUCGACAUCUUAGCGACAGAUUAGAUAGUCUUGAGUUGUCGGUCGUAUGUAAAGUUGGCAAAAAGGCGGUUUCAAUCUCACAGAAAAAGGCUACUAUACACUGAUUGUAGAUUAUGGAAACACCGGCGUUGCAAAUAUGAAAAGUUCUCUGGAAGAAUUCAGACCAUCAUUGUACAGAGAUUCUGCAGCUAGACGAGCAGAGUGAAUCGGAUCAAAUGCAGCCUCUUGUACAUGUUCUUCUCUGCCAUCCUUGAAGAGGAUCGACAAGUUCCACAGUCUUCUCAUCUAUUCUAUUCACAUCGGACAACAUCUUGAUUCCUUUUUUUGGCAAUUUCAGGAAAGUUUUACCUUCCCUUCACUCCAUGAAAUUCUCACCAAUGUACCUAUAUCUCCAUAAUUCGUUGACACAUCAGUAUAUGUUUACAAUUUUGCUUCCCCUUAUUAUGGGUAGCAUUUUAAUCAUCUCUGCAUUGUAUCGUGGUUCAUUAAUCCAACAUGGCACAGCUUGGACAGUUUUUCUACAUGAAAUGUUGCUGCUGAUAUAAAUUUCAGUAGUUCUGGGAAAAGGUGGAAUAUUCAUAACAAUGUGUCCAGUGUAGAGAAAUUAAUGAAAUUCACCAUGGCUUCCUGAGACACGUACAUUCUUCACCCAGAAUAUUCUAGGGGUGACUGGAUCUGGUGAGAAUUUUUUAUCUUGGAACUUCUCCUGGAAAAGUGAACUCUGGGAAGCCAGCACCACUUCGAUCAGUACAUCUGCAACUUGGAAUGAUUACAUUGCAAAUUAUGCCAAAUAUAUUAUUCAACUGAAAAACCAUGUGAACAAUGAUUAAUUCCCUCAUUUUGGGAGUUGGUCUGUUAAAUUCUACAGUCAUUUGUGGAAAGCAGACACAUGCAUCCCAUGACCUUGUUUGAUGUACAUUUCCUUUUCAUCUGCUCCAAGAUGGCUAAUGCAUUCGACUGCUGAAAGAAGAUGUCCAUAUAUAUCUGAUUCGAUGUUGAGACUGUCAUUGGACAUGAUCAUUCAUAUAUGCAGCUUCAGUGUUAAUUAAGUCUAGGAAAUCUUUAAUUACUCUUCCUCCAAAUCAUGAUUUUUUUACUAAGGAUGUCCAUGAUACUUUGGCACAUCUUGAUUCCAUGCGUGGGCUAUGUUUUUCCUCUCAUUAUUGGCCAUAACUUGAGAAGUUCUGCAUGACCAGGAAUUUAUAUUUCGUCAAUGCGAUGCCAAAAAAGUUUUCUAAUUUUAAAUGUCUCUGUCAACUUAAGUAUAGGUCAGAGAUAAAGUUUUAUUUUAUUUCAAUAUGUCUGGUAUAUAUAAAAUUUAUAAACUAUUAAUUCAAUGGCUCCUUCUGAGACAUAUUGCUCACUCCCAUAAUUCUUAGGGUUGCAGGUUUGGUAAAAAAUUCUUGGACGUCCCUUCCUUAAAAAGGGAGCUUUGCGUUGCCAGCACCACUUUAUGAACUGGUAUCAGCAGGUCUCCUACUUGAAAUAUCGCAAAUCUUCUUCUUGAAAAUCUCAUGGAUGUAUGAACCGAUUCCGUCAUAAUGGGAGAUGGUUUUGGUUCCCGUCAUGCCACUGCAGGUACAGUACGUCCCUCAGAUUCCAGGGUGAAUUUUUAUUUCUUGGUGGAAAUUUCAUUGGCUGAGGAGCCCUCCGGAGAAGAGGCCCUACUGGGAGCAUUACUGGAGGAUGAGAUGGCCUCCUCACUUAAAGAAAAAUUAUAAACCGGCACUCCCAGUGGUACGUGUCACUUUACUAGCUCACUUUAUAAAGAUGGAGGAAGAUUGCUAUGGUCUCUGUUAUCUAUAAAUAAACAUUGUGAAAGUGGUGAAUCAACUCGUGCUUACAUGUAUAUGAUUUCAAUAAACAGUGAUCAUGAGAUAUUUAAUCUGUUUUAAAACAACAAAAUAGUGAUGUCAACAUUUCUGUAAGACUUUUUUUUCUCCAUUUGGAACUCACUCGGAAUACCUCGAUCGCCAGAGUUGACUUAACAGUAGUAAAAACACCAGAGAGUGUCUGUAAGAGAGUUGACUCGGAAAAGAAAUAAAUAAAUAACGAAAGUAAAGGUUAAAUGAAAAGAUCAGCUGGUGAUAUGAUGACAUAUCAGAGGCCCUAGACCAUCUGGCCACAGUUUUUACACCAACUUCGACAAGUAUGGGGGUAACACCACCAACAACAUGUAGCUGACCAAAGAAGAAACAAAACUUUUGUCCCAAUAUGUCGGCAAGUAAUGGGAGGCAGAUUCCCGAUUAUCAGGAUGGCUACUGAGACCCAAACUGGGUGACAACCAUGUAUAUUACCGUGCAAUAGAGAUUUCAGGGUGGACCAUGGUGGGAAAAAAAUGAUAUUACAACUGAGCACUGUCACAAAAACAGCUGUCCAUCUAGCCAGCAUCAAACCCCAGAAAUCAACAGCUGCUGCUAUAACAACUUCGUCUUGAAAUCAAACUUGGAUCAAGAUAAAGCCAGAUAUACCUUGUAAAGAAAAUGAUAAGCUUCAGAAAUGUAUGGCUGCACUGGAAUAGAAAGAUGAAGAAGUUACGAUAGGGAACUGAGGAAUUUGUUGAGAUAAAGCUUAGAAAUGCUGAAAUCUUAAAGUCUUACUGGAAAUGGUAACUGAAAAACUCAGUCUGAUGGUAGACCUCGAGCAGGACUUGUUCCUAUUGAGAUUGUAAGCUUUCAUGGUAUGAUGGAGCUGCAUGAUACCUCGCACUGGAGUGUUUGUCUACCGUCGGGAUUUCAAAUCAACCAGCAAAAAGCCAAGUAGGUGCUGGGCAGCAAUGGCGGCAUCUGAUGUCAGUAUUUUAUACCAGUAAGGAAUUGAUUGACCGGGGAAAUAGCAUGGGUGUAAAUGGGAAAGAGGGACUUAGCAAGGAGAUUGUGAAGGCCAUUAUAGACUAUAUGGUGAUAAAAGGAAUUAUAAGACAGCAAGUCAUGUGUGAAGCUAGCCAUGAGGCUGGUACUUUAAUAAGUACUGUCAAAGAUUACUGGAUUGGUAGCCUUUUAAAAGAAGAAACUGUUCCUAAGCCUGCGGACUGAAGGAGUGUCACAGUGUGAUGUUAAUUAAGAAAAACUGUUAUAAUUUAUUAUUUUGUGUUUCUGUGAUAAUCAGCUAUAAUGAAAAAAAAAACCCAUAAUUUAUGUAUCCAUGAAGCCACUUUCAUCAUUGUAUUAUGAAUUAUGUACCGGUAUGUCAUCUGACUAUUAAAAGUAGAGAUAAAUUUAUAAUUUAAAUAUGCAUUACUAGUUUAUAACACAAUAGUAGCUUAUUAUCACCACUGUAUAUCAGAACCAUAUCUGUAAAAGUAGCUAAUAUCAUCUAUCAAUCUGAUUAAAAUCAGAUCCUCAAUGCGCUCCUUGUACUUUUUCUAUUGUCACUACAGGAGGUCAGAUCCUCGACAUGUAGCGACAAUAGAAAAACAAGGAGCGGAUUAAGGAUCUGAUUUUAAUCAGAUUGUAUCAUCUAUGUUUAUAAUUUGUGUACGUCAUUAACUACUACAAAUAAUACUAUAAAUCCUCAUUUUACCCGUACUUCAUUCCGCGAUUCAACUUUUUGUAUCAAAUAGCGAGAAGAUAAAAUCGCAAGCAUCAUUCUUUUGUAAUAAUUUAGUAUAAUUCAAAACUGUCUGAAAAAUAAAAGUGAGAGUUCAAAUCCACGGUGGUUGCUUUUAUGCAAAUAUUAAUUCCUUGUAUUUAAUUAGGAAUCUACAGUAGUAGCUUCUCUUUUUUAUGUAAAGGAGAUUAUUUGUCUAAUAUAUAUAGUCAAACCUCGUUAUCUCGAACUAGAUGGGACUGGUUAAAAAUUCAAGAUAUCCGAGAUAUCAAGCUUUUAAGGGUAAAAUACUUAAAGUUUAAGUGUUUAAGCUUGGACUUACAAAUCACUUCGAGAUAUCCAUUGUAUUCGAAAUAUCGGUGUUCGAGAUACUGAAGUUUAACUGUAUAUAUGGAAACAUGUUUAUGGUAGAUUUAUCAGAAAGGUUCCUUUUUCAAUGCCUAGGUGAUACUGUCUUAAUAUGAACCUAUUUUGUGCUGUUUGUAAAGUAAGUCUAUAUGUGUACCUAAAAUGUACCAUAUUAUACAUGUAUCUAAAGUAUACAUAAUUUUUUAGCUCACCUGAGCUGAAAGCUAAAGUGAGCUAUUCUGAUCACAUUUUGUCUGUCGUCCGUCUGUCUGUCUGUAAAUUUUUCACAUUUUCAACAUCUUCUCAAGAACCACUGGACAAAUUUCAACCAAACUUGGCACAAAGCAUCCUUAGCCUAAGGGGAUUCAAAGUUGUGAAAAUUAAGAACCACGCCUUUUUGCAAAGGAAGAUAAUUAGGAAAUUAUGAAAAUUUUCAAAAAUCUUCUUCUCACGAACCAUAUGACCAGGAAAGCUGAAACUUGUGUGGAAGCAUCCUCAGGUAGUGUAGAUUCAAAGUUGUGAAAAUCAUGACC